rnacentral:vault_RNA from 1 species
CAGCCAGCUUAGCCCAGAGGUUUCAUCUACCAACGCAUUGCUUGGAUCCCCCAAUCGCUUUCAGCGGUUUGACACCUGCGGGCGCUGCCUAGCUUUA